rnacentral:tRNA from 1 species
GACCACGUAGCUCAGUUGGCAGAGCAUUGGACUAUAGUAUCCCAAGGUCGUGGGUUCGAUUCCCACCGUGGCCA